CAUUAACAUGUUCUCUCUCUCCUUCCUCUCCAUAUCUCAUCAUCCUCCCUUCACCAUCACUAUUUCACACAAAAAUACUCCUCUUACCACCGUCCCAUCCUCACCAUCUCACUGUUAUCAUCUCACCAUUCCUUCUUCUUUCUUCCUCUCCGCAAACAACCGCCGACAACGAUCCUCUCGCCUGAAACAAAAACUCAGAUACUAAUCUCACCAUUCCUUCUUCUUCUUCAAUUUCUUUCUUUUUUCGAAAUCCUUAAUUUUUUUAUAUUUUUUUUAAUCCUUAAUUUGCUUCAACCUGUUUUUAAUCCCUAUUUUUCUAAUCUUUCUUUCUACGUCGUUUUGUAGAUACUCUCACGAGGAGGUAAAAUUUUCAUUCCUCAAACCCUAGCCGAGGAAUCGCAACACAAUCAGUUAUUGUUCUCUUUCUCUCUGUUUUGUUCAUCCACGACAGGAAAAAAUUGGAAGGAAGCUGCUAAGAGAGGUGAAAAUUUCUUUUCUAGCUAUACGUGGUUCUGACAAGGGAAUAGCUUCAGACUUUUGCUUACCAUGUCCGAGGCAUCUUCAUAUCAAUGGAAAAGUGUUAUUCAGCUAUUAUAUUAGGUUUUCCUCUUGGUUUUGUUGCUGCUGUUAAGAGAAAUGGAGUUUAAAGGAUAUUGUUUGUCUCUCUUCCCCAAUUCAAAAGCUGAAAGACAAAGUUGGUGAGCAUUCUGCAGUUAUUAAAGAGACUAUAUGAUGUAUGAAGUUGAGCUAAACAUAGGUUAUUUGAUCAAAGAAGAUGGAGGAGGAUCUUAUAGCAAUGCAAUGGAUGAGAAAAUUUAUUAAUGCAUUAGUUGUUUUCAAUUGUUUUUGUUUUCCUUUAAUUUUGUUAAUGCAUUGUGUGAUUCUAAGUUGUACAAAUAAAUCUUAAGUGUUAAAACUUUAUGGAACCCAGGCAUUCCUCUAUAGUUAUACUUUGUUUACACUAUUUAAAUCUUAAGUGUUGAAACUUUAUGGCACCCAGACAUUCCUCUAUAGUUAUACUUUGUUUACACUAUUUUUAGGAUAAUUUCUUAAUCCGUCUCCAAAAAACAUGAGAGGCUUACAAAAAUUGUGUAAUAUUAGGUAAAUUUAACGGAUUUUGAAAUCUUAAUUGUCAUCAAGUUGUUUAUUCUCUUAAUAUAACGUGUUUACAUGUAACUAACAAAUAUAUGCUAUCUAAAUAUUUGCAAACAAUUGUUCCUUGGUUUUGUGAAAGGAUGAAAAGAUUAGUGAAAAGAUUACAUGACAUUGAUGGACAGGCUAAAAGGAUGAAAUUAUAUUGACUUGGUUUUCUAAUGGAAUAUUACAGGACAUUGUUGGACAGGCUAGAAGGGAAAAGAUUAGUGAAAGGAUGAAAACUCUUCAGGAUUUAGUCCUUGGUUGCAACAAGGUAUGUGCAAGAAACCAGGACUAUCAAUUAUAAAACUGGGACUUGGAGAAUUAAACGAAUGGUUUGUCUUUGAAGGCAUAGUAUGAUGAUUAUCAUGUAUUUCUACUUCUUCAGGAUUAUAUUGUAGAUUGGAUAUAAUUAAAGUGAGUUUUUAUUUUCUACUUUAUUUUUUGUUGAUAGAUUCAUUGUAUUUUCUACAUUGCUCUAUAGUUUUACUUUAAUUUGUUUGACUAUUUUUAGGGUAAUAUCUCAAUAUCCACACGGGGGCUUAUCAUAACCCUGCUUUUAGUACUUUCUUCAAUUAUUCCUUAACUAAGCCCCAAAAAUAUGGGGGGCCGAACAACAAACACUUACCAUAACCCUGUCUUCUUUUUACCUUUUAAAAGCCGGUACUUCCAAGUUCAACUAUCAAUAUUGUUUUUCCGGAAGUUUUUGAUAACCUUUAGGAAGCAUAAGGAGGUUGGUAGAAUAUCUUCAAACCAAUGGAUAUUGCAUUGAACUAAAUGUUGUGUUUUGAAGUUAUGUAAUAUUAUAACAACUUGACAAAUUUUUAAUGUUUUAUAUUAGGUUGCCAUGUAGUAUGAUUAUGCAUUAUAUUUUGGUUUUACAUAGAAAUAAUGCAUAUCUUUUUGAAUUGUGUAAUAUUAAGG